UGAGAUCCUCUUGCUUUCCCAA
rnacentral:miRNA from 1 species